rnacentral:tRNA from 1 species
UGGGGUUUAGUUUAGUGGCAUAAACACCUGUCUUACAAACAUGAGGUUGUGAGUUUGAUCCCCAGCACCAA